AUAUGGUCAAGUGAAGAAGCGCAUACGGUGGAUGCCUUGGCAGUCAGAGGCGAUGAAAGACGUGGUAGCCUGCGAAAAGCUUCGGGGAGUCGGCAAACAGACUUUGAUCCGGAGAUGUCUGAAUGGGGGAACCCAGCCAUCAUAAGAUGGUUAUCUUGUACUGAAUACAUAGGUGCAAGAGGCGAACCAGGGGAACUGAAACAUCUAAGUACCCUGAGGAAAAGAAAUCAACCGAGAUUCCCUUAGUAGUGGCGAGCGAACGGGGACUAGCCCUUAAGUGGCUUUGAGAUUAGCGGAACGCUCUGGAAAGUGCGGCCAUAGUGGGUGAUAGCCCUGUACGCGAAAAUCUCUUAGUCAUGAAAUCGAGUAGGACGGAGCACGAGAAACUUUGUCUGAAUAUGGGGGGACCAUCCUCCAAGGCUAAAUACUACUGACUGACCGAUAGUGAACUAGUACCGUGAGGGAAAGGCGAAAAGAACCCCGGAGAGGGGAGUGAAAUAGAUCCUGAAACCGUAUGCGUACAAGCAGUGGGAGCCCACUUUGUUGGGUGACUGCGUACCUUUUGUAUAAUGGGUCAGCGACUUAUUUUCAGUGGCGAGCUUAACCGAAUAGGGGAGGCGUAGCGAAAGCGAGUCUUAAUAGGGCGUCUAGUCGCUGGGAAUAGACCCGAAACCGGGCGAUCUAUCCAUGGGCAGGUUGAAGGUUGGGUAACACUAACUGGAGGACCGAACCGACUACCGUUGAAAAGUUAGCGGAUGACCUGUGGAUCGGAGUGAAAGGCUAAUCAAGCUCGGAGAUAGCUGGUUCUCCUCGAAAGCUAUUUAGGUAGCGCCUCAUGUAUCACUGUAGGGGGUAGAGCACUGUUUCGGCUAGGGGGUCAUCCCGACUUACCAAACCGAUGCAAACUCCGAAUACCUACAAGUGCCGAGCAUGGGAGACACACGGCGGGUGCUAACGUCCGUCGUGAAAAGGGAAACAACCCAGACCGUCAGCUAAGGUCCCAAAGUUAUGGUUAAGUGGGAAACGAUGUGGGAAGGCUUAGACAGCUAGGAGGUUGGCUUAGAAGCAGCCACCCUUUAAAGAAAGCGUAAUAGCUCACUAGUCGAGUCGGCCUGCGCGGAAGAUGUAACGGGGCUCAAACCAUACACCGAAGCUACGGGUAUCACGUAAGUGAUGCGGUAGAGGAGCGUUCUGUAAGCCUGUGAAGGUGAGUUGAGAAGCUUGCUGGAGGUAUCAGAAGUGCGAAUGCUGACAUGAGUAACGAUAAUGGGUGUGAAAAACACCCACGCCGAAAGACCAAGGUUUCCUGCGCAACGUUAAUCGACGCAGGGUUAGUCGGUCCCUAAGGCGAGGCUGAAAAGCGUAGUCGAUGGAAAACAGGUUAAUAUUCCUGUACUUCUGGUUAUUGCGAUGGAGGGACGGAGAAGGCUAGGCCAGCUUGGCGUUGGUUGUCCAAGUUUAAGGUGGUAGGCUGGAAUCUUAGGUAAAUCCGGGAUUCUAAGGCCGAGAGCUGAUGACGAGUUAACUUUUAGUUAACGAAGUGGUUGAUGCCAUGCUUCCAAGAAAAGCUUCUAAGCUUCAGGUAACCAGGAACCGUACCCCAAACCGACACAGGUGGUUGGGUAGAGAAUACCAAGGCGCUUGAGAGAACUCGGGUGAAGGAACUAGGCAAAAUGGCACCGUAACUUCGGGAGAAGGUGCGCCGGUGAGGGUGAAGGACUUGCUCCGUAAGCCCAUGCCGGUCGAAGAUACCAGGCCGCUGCGACUGUUUAUUAAAAACACAGCACUCUGCAAACACGAAAGUGGACGUAUAGGGUGUGACGCCUGCCCGGUGCCGGAAGGUUAAUUGAUGGGGUUAGCUAACGCGAAGCUCUUGAUCGAAGCCCCGGUAAACGGCGGCCGUAACUAUAACGGUCCUAAGGUAGCGAAAUUCCUUGUCGGGUAAGUUCCGACCUGCACGAAUGGCGUAACGAUGGCGGCGCUGUCUCCACCCGAGACUCAGUGAAAUUGAAAUCGCUGUGAAGAUGCAGUGUAUCCGCGGCUAGACGGAAAGACCCCGUGAACCUUUACUAUAGCUUUGCACUGGACUUUGAAUUUGCUUGUGUAGGAUAGGUGGGAGGCUUUGAAGCGUGGACGCCAGUCUGCGUGGAGCCAACCUUGAAAUACCACCCUGGCAACUUUGAGGUUCUAACUCAGGUCCGUUAUCCGGAUCGAGGACAGUGUAUGGUGGGUAGUUUGACUGGGGCGG
rnacentral:rRNA from 1 species